rnacentral:rRNA from 1 species
CCUACGGGGGGCUGCAGUCGAGAAUCAUUGUCAAUGGGCGAAAGCCUGAACGUGCGACGCCGCGUGUGGGAUGAAGGCCUUCGGGUUGUAAACCACUGUCAGGGGGAAGGAAUAAGCGUGUAACCCACGCGAUGACUUAUACCCCAGAGGAAGUGACGGCUAACUACGUGCCAGCAGCUGCGGUAAUACGUAGGUCACGAACGUUAUUCGGAAUCACUGGGCUUAAAGGGCGCGUAGGCGGCUUCGUAAGUUAUGGUUGAAAUCCGGCGGCUCACCCGUCGAACUGGCCAUAAGACUGCGGAGCUUGAGGUGCGGAGGGAUGCGUGGAACUUGUGGUGGAGCGGUGAAAUGCCCAGAUAUCACAGGGAACACCGGUGGCGAAGGCGACGCAUUGGCCGCAAUCUGACGCUGAGGCGCGAAAGCAUGGGGAGCGAACGGGCUUAGAUACCCGUGUAGUC